rnacentral:sRNA from 12 species
GGACCACUCCUGCGAGGGAGCCUAAGGCCAUACGGACAGCCGGGUCCACUGCCGA